rnacentral:rRNA from 1 species
AGCAGCCGCGGUAAUUCCAGCUCCAAUAGCGUAUAUUAAAGUUGUUGCAGUUAAAAAGCUCGUAGUUGAAUUUCGAGAUCAGUACGCUGGUCGUGCCUUCGGUAUGCACUGGUGUCACUGGUUUCUCCCUUCUGAAGAACCGUCAUGUCAUUAAGUUGGUGUGGCGGGGAAUCAGGACUGUUACUUUGAAAAAAUUAGAGUGUUUAAAGCAGGCUCGCGCUUGAAUACAUUAGCAUGGAAUAAUGAAAUAGGACGUUUGACCCUAUUUUGUUGGUUUCUAGGAUCGACGUAAUGAUUAAUAGGGAUAGUUGGGGGCAUUAGUAUUCAAUUGUCAGAGGUGAAAUUCUUGGAUUUAUUGAAGACUAACUACUGCGAAAGCAUUUGCCAAGGAUGUUUUCAUUAAUCAAGAACGAAAGUUAGGGGAUCGAAGACGAUCAGAUACCGUCGUAGUCUUAACCAUAAACUAUGCCGACUAGGGAUCGGAUGAUGUUAAUUUUUUAAUGACUCAUUCGGCGCCUUACG